rnacentral:lncRNA from 1 species
CUGCAUGUCCUCCACCAGCAGCUCCAUACCCAGCACCACCUCCCUCUCCACCACCACUGCCUCCUGCAUGUCCUCCACCAGCAGCACCACCCCCUCCUCCUUCUCCACCACCACCACCUCCUGCAUGUCCUCCACCAGCUGCCCCAUACCCAGCUCCACCUCCUUCUCCACCACCACUACCAUAUCCUGCUCCAUGAUCACCUAGUGCCCCAACAACACCAGUUUCACCCCCUAAGCCUCCUACAAUCCCUCCCUUUACACCAACACCUCCUUCUAGAGCGGCCCCUAGGCCAAGGAGUGUUCUAGCAGCUGAACAUAUGGUUAUACCUACAAAGACAAAGAACACAAUACUAAGAACUCUAAAUGCAGCCAUGGGGAUUGAAUAUGAUAUGUAUUUAGUCACACAACCAUGGAAAGGAAGGCAAAGGAUGAUGGCUAUUUAUAGGGCUUGGGAGGCACUACUAGAAAAACAGAUAAAGAUAGCUUUCAAUUAAUAACAUUUG